ensembl:lncRNA
GAAGAUCCACUGUAUGCACAUGUUCUUGACAGAUUUGGUUAGAUUCGCUAGUGCAGUGAGUGCACUGCACACAGUUAGCAGCUCCACAUAUUCACACUGAAGGACACCCACACUGCGCUCUCUCUCUCUCUCUCUCUCUCUCUCUCUCGCUCUCUGUAAGAGGCGGCGCAUCGUGCGCUCACUCGUCUGUGCUGUGAGUUUGAGUUCCGAUCCUCAUCUUCCUCACACAGAGAGCUGAACCUGCAGACACUUUCCAGCACGCACUGCAGACGCGUUAACAGUUCGCGGCUUCUCUUCACUGAGACUCACAAAGGAAAUAUCUAUCAGACACGCGGAGACGCGCGCAUCAUUCCAGCGCACCGAACCGAAGCGGAUCCGGAUCUGGCAACAGGAGGAUCUCAAACACAGUCCAAGUGGAUGUUGCAUCGCGCUUUCCAUGGUGCUGAAAUGAUCUGAUCUGAUCUGAUCUCAGUCCGAAUCAUCUUCAUCUGCACAGGAGUGUCUUUUGGUUCUGAGCUGUGAUGCUCUUCGUGGAUUUUCUUCGCGGUCGGAGGAGGUUGCGGGUGUCCGUCUGCAAGCCGCCCUGCUCCUUCUGGUUUCUGCUGCUGUUUGGGAUCGGAGGACUCGUUCUCUUCAUCCACCUGCAGGAUCUGUCCGAUAUGGUGCUUCAGCAGGCUCCAGCAGGUAAGCACACCUUUUACUCUAAUACUAUUAGCAGCGGUUUGAUCCAGAGUGAAAGUGGUUUCAAUGGAAAGAUCGCAAUCCACUUCCAGCAAAUGAUUCAGCAGAUUUCUGAGGAUUUGAUUCUUUUUCAAAAGCUUAGAUUUUUUUGA